AAUAAUUAACCCCUAAAAACAAUCUUCGUCUUCCUUGUACGCAGUCCUGUAGAACCACCGGCUUUGCCGCCGCCAGCGUAUGCAACCAUGGCCUUUCACUCCCAAAAUAACACCAUGUCUUCCCCGUCUGAUCCUAUAUUCAAAUUCGAUUCAUUUCUUUCGAAUCUCACCCUAAAGCUUCGAAUCUCAAUUCGAAAAUUUUAUGUCUAUGACUCAACUUUCUCCAAAUCACUCCAAAUUCACACCAUUGAACCUCCUCCUUCUCCUCAUCACCAAUCCGCAAGUAAUCCUAUUCAAAUCAUGAUCAAGCCCCUCGAAUUUCAAAUAUAAAAUUGGUCAAAAACCCUAGUGCAUCCCAUUGAUUCCAAAUGAACGCAUCAGGGUCUCUUUGAUUCCCUCACGAGGAAUUCGAUGUCAUUGGCCUCGAACUUCAUUGAAGGCAGUCGAGUUUGAAUUUGGAAAUUUUCCAUUGAGUUUUCUUUUUUCUUUAUUUUUUUUCAUUCUUUAUUUUUGUUCUUGUUUUGUUGAAGCCUGUUUCCUUGUUUGUUAAUUGCGUCUCUUGGUUCUGUUUUUAUUUCCUUUUCAUAUUUCUUUUAGAGCAUGGGUUAGCUUAACUGAGUUUAUUUGCUUGGAUUUUAAGUUUUGUUAAUCGAUUUAAUGGGAUUAAUAUGGUUGUUAUUACUAAUUGAUGCCAUUAUAUUAUUGGUUCCUUCUUAUUCAUCUGUUAUUAGUUAGAUUAGUGUAGUUUAAUGUGGAUUUCUAUGUCUGUUAGUUUUGUUUACGUCGAUGAUUAAAUAAUGGUGAAUUAGGAUUCUUAAUUGAGUAUAGCUUAGGAAGUAGUUUGAUUGUAGCAGUAACUUUGAGUUGAAGCUCACGAAAAUAGGUAGUUCAAGGGUAGGAAAACUAGGAUGAACUUCCUAGGAGCUUUUAGAUGGGGGAUUUUAGGUAAUUUGCCAAAGAUAAGUUUAGUUACUUGGAUAACAAGUUAAUAAGUAAAGGACCAAGGCUGAAAUUGAACAAGGACUAAAAAGAAAAACAGAAAAUCUGACAGGUUUCAUUUGUGCCUAUAAAAGGGGAUGAUAUUUACUUCUUUCACAUGUUUUGGAGCCCUCAAAUUCCCCUCAAACACAACACUCUCCUAUAUCUUCAGAUCUAAAGAUUGAAAUUCAAAAGAAAAAACCAAAAACAAAAAGAUUACUGUUCCAUUAAGCAUGGAUUUCAAUUUUUUGCUACUGAUUUGCAUUCCUUUAGCUCAAUUCCUAGUUGUUGAGGUUCAGAGGUCCAUUACUCGAAUUUGGAGUCAGUGUUUCAAAGAUUCAAGAUAUACUAUUUUAGUUAAAGUUUUCUGGAAAUUCCUGGUUCAAAUUAAACCUCCUCAGCAGUUAGUCAAUUGUGCGGGUCGAGUUUUUUCUUCCUGUUGGGUUUUGGAUUCUUCUCGGACUUGCUGUGUUGAUUUUUCGACUAUUGGAUUUUGAAUUCUCCCUAGGUUGUUGAUUCUAUCUCCUGAAGUUGUUUGCUGCUUCCGAUUGCUCUUCUACUGCUAAUUUUCCUUCUAUUCAUUAUAUUUAUAGGUACUUGUCGUAAAACUCAGUACUAUGUAGAUGUCUUGCUGGAAUGAAAUGAAUUGAGGCUGAACCUCUGCUGUUGACUUGAGAUUAUAGUUUCUCUAUCUUGUUUAGAUGGAAUUCUAUAAUUUAAUAAUUUGCUCAUAGACUGUAUUAACUUUGGACUGUUCAAGUUUAUGGACCGUUGACUUCUUUCUAAUGAGCUUAUGAACUUCAUAAUUGGCAACAUUAGUUUGGCUCGGUGGUAAUACUGGUGUAGUGUAGUAUAGUGUGAGAUAACUUGAUUUGUUUUUCACUAAUUGCAAGAAAAACAAAUCAAAUGGUCUGAUAUUUUGAUGUAUUAUUUUCAGUGAUUCAAUUUUAAAAGGGAAAAGAGUCAGAACUGCCCCUAACGUAUUGACUCCACAUCAAAAAUGCCCUCCGUUAACCUAUUUUGAAAAAAAUGUCCCUACCGUUAAAAAUGUGGCAUAUUUGUGCCCCUAAGUCUAACAAUUGACUGUACUUAUAUUUAAAAAGGUAUGGGCAUUUUUUUCAAAAUAGGUUAACGGUAGGGGCAUUUUUAAACUUGAGUCAAUACGUUAGGGGCACAAAUAUGCCAGAAUUUUAACGGUAGGGGCAUUUUCUUCAAAAUAUGGCGUGCUGACCCUUUUCCGAUUUUAAAAUCAUGAACCGCUUGAGCAAUAAUUCAGUAAUGCUAGUUUGAACUGUCCUAAAUCAAUUGGUCGUUUUGAGUUCAGGCUGUUGAGUAGUUCGUAUGUAAUGUAAACAAAAGUUAUCUAAUCCAAUUGAUUAGCUUAUUCAUGUGAGGCGUACAUUGAUGAUCAAUGUUGUUAAGUUCAAUCACCCCCGGUUUGUGUUUACCUUAGUGACAUCCAAUAACUCAUCAAGAAUCGUAAUAGAAAAUAAUAUAAGUAGGGAACUGAAAUUUAAGUGAUUAGCAUUUUAUUAAUUUGAAGGAAUUGAACAGUGUCUAUUCUAUCACAAAAGCAACAAGUGAAAUUGGAAAAUUUUG
rnacentral:lncRNA from 1 species